AGAUGUAAACCGCGUCUUGCCGCGUACAGAUGUCGGUGUCGGACAGGUUGUCCCCAGUCAUUUGCCAAAUGUGGAGCAGAGUCGUGCAGCGGGAAGCUCUUGACACCGAUGAGACAUCCCCAAACUGCGAUUAAGAGGAUCCGAGCUAAGGAACGGGAGUAGAGGGUCUCCCAGCGUCGCUCCACGGGGCCGCUCUGUCUGCCGGGCAGCGGAGCGCAGCGCACUGAGCUUGUCAUGAGUCCCAGCACCAGUAUUGGUAAGAGGGCCGAUUGAAUACUCAUCCUUCUGACCAGUAUGGACACGGAUCUCAGGCUCUCGCCGUUUGAAAAAGGAAGAGGGAUGUCUCCAGCGACAUGGCUUCCCAGGUUCCCCCAGAGAUAUGCCUUUGUGACCACCAGGAAGCUCUCAAACCUACCAAAUGAUGUCACUAUAGUAGUUUAUGAGAAAGAAAGGGUGGUCCCAAGAGGACGUCCCUUUUAGCUAGACUUCUGAGAGACUUCAAUAUCUAUGCGAUCACUUUCAAAGUGUGGCUGAAUAUAACUGCAACCAAAUGCCUCAUUCACCAACAUGAAUCUCUCUGACGAUCAAAGCUUUAAUUAACCUAUACAUUAAAUAUAUGUUUUUAGGUUAUCUGUUGUAAAAUUAAAUACAUUUAAGCACAUUAUUGAGUCUCAAAUUUAGUCCAAGAAAUGGCAAAUACAAAGUUGUCUAUGACUAACAAGACGAAAAUAUAUAGUUUCAUAUAAUUUAUUGGUGACAUUCCUCUAGAUGUUCAGCUUUCAGUGUCAACAAUGCAGUUUAUAUGCAUUACUUUGAUUACAGUGUUCAAUACAAAUGGCAUUUAUCAAAGCU